rnacentral:rRNA from 1 species
GACGAACGCUGGCGGCGUGCCUAAUACAUGCAAGUAGAACGCUGAAGGAGGAGCUUGCUUCUCCGGAUGAGUUGCGAACGGGUGAGUAACGCGUAGGGAACCUGCCUGGUAGCGGGGGAUAACUAUUGGAAACGAUAGCUAAUACCGCAUAAGAGUAGAUGUCGCAUGACAUUUGCUUAAAAGGUGCAACUGCACCACUACCAGAUGGACCUGCGUUGUAUUAGCUAGUUGGUGAGGUAACGGCUCACCAAGGCCACGAUACAUAGCCGACCUGAGAGGGUGAUCGGCCACACUGGGACUGAGACACGGCCCAGACUCCUACGGGAGGCAGCAGUAGGGGAUCUUCGGCAAUGGACGGAAGUCUGACCGAGCAACGCCGCGUGAGUGAAGAAGGUUUUCGGAUCGUAAAGCUCUGUUGUAAGAGAAGAACGAGUGUGAGAGUGGAAAGUUCACACUGUGACGGUAUCUUACCAGAAAGGGACGGCUAACUACGUG